rnacentral:tRNA from 1 species
GAGAGUAGCUCAGCUGGUAGAGCAUAACCUUGCCAAGGUUAGGGUCGCGGGUUCGAGUCCCGUCUCUCGCUCAACCA